UCAUUUUUACCUUAUUUAUGUUUUUUUUUUUCUAUCAUUUUCUACCCUUUUUCUAUUUUCUUCAAAUAUAUUAUUUUUGCUCUUUCUUCAAUUUUUUUCUUUCUAAACUAGUUUUUUUUUUGCAGUACGUGGAUUGAGGUGGUGAUGGUGUCGUCUCCUGUAGAGUUUUUCGUGGUAGAAGAGUUCCAUGAACAUCAGAAAAACUUCAAGGUUAUUACCAAUGAACAGUUCACUAUCUGGCUCAUCUUUCUUUAUGGGAAGGUUGAUGAUUGAUAAUGCACAUAAACUGUUUAGUGAAAUGCUCGACUUAAAGUGUAAACUCACUUUUUGUUCCUUUGGUGCUUUAUUAUCUGCUUGCAUUGGAGGUGUUGUCAAGGGUUGUUUUCAGUUUAUCAGCUCCACUUACCUAACUCUGGAAGGUUGCUGCAGAUUGCAAAACUUCUUCAGUAUCAGUUUUACUGAGAUAAUAAUAUUUAUGAACUAAUAAUGGGGAUGAAAAUUUUAAUCGUUAGUUGUCAUAAGAAGCUUCAUUAUUAUGCUUACAAAUAAUAAUCACUAGGAAGCAAGGUCCAACAACGAAAUUUGUUUUCUUUUCUGUGACCAUGUUUCCUUUAUUUUGUAAGUUGUGUCCUAAAAAAGCAAUGGAUGUCAAUCUAAGUUUAUAUAUAUAUAUAUAUAUAUAUCAAAUGACAUGUUUACAGUGUUGUGUAAUUGUGCCUUCCUAGAAGGUUGCAACUCUCAUGACAUGGUUAUUUAGUAAUAAGUUACAUAUUUUCCUUUGCUCUA